GAGAUAUCAGUGGUAUAAGAACUAAAAACUGACUAAUUCUUGUAAAGGUAAAUAUAAAAUGUAACAGAAAGUAGCUACAGGCUGCAGGAAGACCAGUCUCACUAACAAAAGUUUAUUUUCUCCUUCCAGUGGGUUUUUAGGAUUUUUUCUCAUGCUGAGCACAGUGAAGCUAAAAAGCCUUAUGGCCCCAGGGCAGUGUGCAGCCUGGAUUUUCUUUGCUAAGGUGGUCACAGCUGGUUUAUCCAUAUUGCUGUUUGAUAUGAUCCUGACCAGUGCCACCGUGGGAUGCCUCCUGCUCAGCGGACUUGGAGAGGCCUUGCUGGUUUUCUCGGAGCGGAAGGGCUCCUAAGCCCAGGACGAGGGGACUCCAGGGCUGCUGCGGGAGAGCCCAGCCCUGGGCUUCGGAGCGCCCUGUCGGGGCGAUGGAAGGAAGAAAGCACAGCUGGUGAGACGCUGCUGCUCCCUGUGUCAAGGAGAACUCUUUCUGGGGGUCUCUGGGCUGCUGUUGAGAACGGACUGCGUGGAGAGGGUCCCUCAGGUCCUGCUGGCCUGGCUGUGCCCAGCUGUGCCCAGCUGUGCGGGAACAGACGCAGGGUCUCACCUGCAUGCGGAUGGCUCCGCCCACCAUCAUUGCCGUGCAGGUCGCCUUAUUAAACACCCUCCACCAAACAAGCUUUCGCUACCUGGUAGUGGGCCCAAGGUAUUUUGUUGCCAUUUUAGUUUUCUUUUGUGAAUUUUACGCCCUUGGAGACUCCUCUGGGGACAUCCUUUCUUUGCUGUCGUGCUGGCUUGCCUAGAACCCACACUCACCCACUUAGCAGCACGGAAAGAAUUGCUUGUGAGAACCUCCCCUGGGGCGGGGGAAGGGGUUUAAAUGGGAGUUCCCGGCCAAGUAAGAGCACCAGCAGGGACACUGUUUCUCCAGAGUGAGUACUGAAGUCUUUUUGUUGUUGUGUGUUGCGUUGAAUUCUGCACACUUUUCUGUGUCUACCGCUAGGUGAACUUGAUAUUAGUGAUUAUCACAGGGAAUAGGGUUAAUAAGCAGUGAUGGAUAAAAUAAAUAUGUAACACAUAUUUAUAUUCAUAAUCUAUUUAAUUUCCUGAUUUUCCAGAGGAGGUUUCAAAUCAUUGGAUGCUGAAGUAUAAGACCAGAUUAAAAAUUGGAUUUAAACUCUAAGCCUUGCCUUUAUGGAAGUCCAAAGAAAUGAAUUUACGUGAGGUGGUCAUUUGCUUCUGAAUCUACAAUGAAGGUUUAAGAAAAUAAGGUCUAACUCCAUAUAUUUCUGCUCAUAAUAGGUUUCUGAAUACCUUACUACUUUGCCAGGUGUCAGUUUUGGUCAUUUUGAGACACAGAAGGUAACAAAGUCCAGUGAGUCUUGGCCAGGGAGGACCCAGGCCCUGCAGUGUUGGACACCAGUGUUGGCGAUGGAGAACCAUCUUCAGCAUCUGUGAAACAAGCCUCGUUCAUUCUUGGUCCUGGGAAGACUGAGAGAGGCCUUGCUGGUUUUCUCAGAGCGGAAGGGCUCCUAAACCCGGGAGGUCAGCUCAGUCAGGCCAUUCUUCCUGCAUGUUUCCUCCAAGUUGUUGGAAAAAGGAACAAAACAAAGCGAAUAGGAAUGGAAUAGUAUGAUUGGCUCUUGAGUACCUUAAAUUCAUGUCCUUGUCUUCUCCUGGUCUCUGCUUGUCAUUUAAGGUAAAGAUGUUCAGAGUGACCUUUGCACGUAUAUAUAUAUAGUUUCAUUUUGCUCUUAAUCUGAGAUGUCAAACUUUCUACUGAGGAUCAAAUAGAAAAUCUGGGUUUAGAAUUUUCCUUCUUUUGCCCCCACAAACCUCUCUGUACAACUGAGGCCAGUUCUCCAUUUGUGGAAAGUGGCAUCUGACCAAAUGUCAUCUUACGCCUGUCUUUCCAAGUGUCAUUCAAGCAAAUGGAGAUUCCUAAGGCUGGAAAGAGCCAUGCACAGUUAACAAGUCCGGUCUGGUGUUCCCAGCAGGACUGACCUCAAAAACUUUUGCAAAAGUGUUAGACCUUUUUUCAAAAAGAGAAUCUCUAGCAAAGAUUUUUGUUUUUGUUUGGGUGAUUUUUUUUAAACUGCAUUCUAGAGGCCCAUUGUUCUUAAACUUUCAGGUCUUUUUACUUUGACACCAGCAAGAGGCAGAGGAUAAGGUGUUUCUUCAAUGUAGCAUCCUGUUUCCCUCACCUUCCAUUUCUUAUUGGGCUUUUUGCUUGAAGCUUUAACCACUAUCUUUUAUGCCCAAGUUCAUGUGCUCAACUCUGAACACAGGGUGAGCCCAGGGCUCUGUAACUCAAGGGGCUGGUCCAGAUGACUGCAGUCUCCUGAGCUCUCAUUUUCUGUGGCUCUCUGGGCCCUAGCCCCCAGGUGGUGAAUCUCCAGGUAACCCCAGCACUCCCUUUUACCCGAAAUGAUCCGUUUGCUCAUGUCCUGUCUGGGUCAUGUCCUUGCUGGCCCCAAGCGAAACCCAGGGUGUUUUGGUUUUUCAUUUGUCCAAAUAAAGAAUAUGCUUUCUGUCAAGAGAGGCAAGGCUCUGUGUGAUUGGGUAUGGUUACCAGUCUGCUGUGGAUAGAAGGGAAAAUAAACCAUUUUUUUUUUUGGUAGUUUGCCUUUCUUUCUCUUCUCUUUGACCUGGACAGGAGAGUUGUGCAGAAAAGGUUGUUAGCCUCGGGGAGUGAGUUCUUGCACCUUAAACACAGGCCCAGACAUCUACCAGCCUCCAGGCCACUUUGCUCUGCAUGGGGAGGGCCAUGCAACUCCUUCUAGACCUGCCCUGUCCUGUCGGGUGUCCCAUAUGUGGCUGUAGAGCCCUGAGAGGGGGUGCGCCCAAAUCCAGAUGUGCUGGAAGUCUAAGCACACACUGAUUUCGAAGACUUAGUAUAAAAAAAGAGGAUGUAAAAUAAUCUCAUAAUCAUUUUGUAUUCAUUGAUUGCAUGUGAAAUAAUAUUUUUGAUAUAUGGGGUUAUAUAAAAUAUAUGAUCAAAAUUAA